rnacentral:rRNA from 1 species
UUGAAAGGGAAACGAUUGAAGUCAGUCGUACCAGCGGGAAAUCAACCUUUCGAGUGGGAUUUUGGAGUUUUGAAGAGUGUCAAAACCUUUGAGAUUUCAAAAUUUUCGCUCUUUUGGUGUACUUUCUCGUGGGUAGGUUAACAUCGAUUUUGAUCAUCAUAAAAAGAUUGGAGGAAUGUAGCUUCGAUCUUGUAUUGAAGUGUUAUAGCCUUUGGUAAAUGUGAUGAUUAGGAUCGAGGAUUGCAACGAAUACCCUUUUGGGCUAUCCGCCUGAUCUCUGAUACGUGGCCUUGGUAUCGAAAGCGUGCUUAUGGUAUUGAGGUAUUACGGUCAAAAGGUUAGAACGGAUUACAUUCGUUAAGGAUGUUGACGUA